CAGAGGCAUGGAUUAAUCUGAUAGCAUUUAUCCAGUGAGUCAGGACUCGGGCUUCCAGUCCAGGACUCUGUUCAAAUUGUUCUUCCUCUGCAGAUAGGCUUCAGUUAUUCAUUUACUACCCUGGAUACACUGCUGGAUUUGACUUGCUAGUAUUUUAUAAAGGAUUUUUGACAUUUGUUUCCUAAGUGAGAGGAUCGAACCCAGUGCCUCACAUGUGUGAGGCAAGUGCUCUGCCACUGAGUCACAACCCCAGCUCCGUCUUGUGGCAGAUCAUUAGUGUUGAAAUUUAUUUCAAGACUUGCUGGAGAUUUUCCUAUGUUAUGGGUCUUUUCAAAGGUCCAGCUUGUGACGUUGGGAAUGGGCGUUGGCGGCCCAUGUGGAUGAAGAAACCCUCUGGUGGCAGACUCCACAAGUCCAGUCUCCUCCAUGGCAGGCUUUCCUGCCGUGUGCUGCUGCUCGCUCUUCUAAUUUGGGCUCAGUCUGCUUCCUACCUCUUCUCAGCCUCUGUCUGUGAUGGACAAUUCCUUGUUUUUUUUUCCAGCCUCCAAAAUCUAUGCUUGCUCAAGUCCAGUCCAUCAAAUGUUUGCAAGUGUGGUUAGUUUUCUGUUUUGAAACAUAAUCUGUGGAAACUCUGGCGUGCUGGGGUGGCAUUAAUGUUCCUACGUUGGGCUCCGCAGUGGACGGUUGCCAUGCUUCUUUACUGAGUGACUAUUUUUAACUGCUGUUGCAGUAUAGCCAACAUAUAAUAAACUGUUCUAAUUUAAGGUGUGCCAUCUGAUCCGUUUUUAUGUAUGUUUAUACCUUGAAAUCAUCAUCCUAGCUAAUGAGCUCCAAAUGUUUUCUUGGGUCUCUUGUAAUCUUUCCCUUCAUUUCCUGGACCCAGGGCUCCCCAUCGCCAUGGCAGGCCCUGGAAACUCCAGUUAGUAAGUGGAGCCACCAGGGGGCUCACCUUGCUUAUUUACCAUCUGAAGACCACUGUCCUGCAUUGCCCCAAAUCCAGUGUUCUCAAACUCUGGAGGCACCAGAGGCAAGAGGAACAGCAGUGCACAGGAUAGGCAAAGCAGAUGGAGGGUCAGGAGGACAUGGGGUUGGGGAAGAGGGUAAGAUCCCUGCAAAAGUCACUUUCAUCAUGCACUUGAGUCACGUUCUAGGCAAAACACUACAGCGGCUCCUGGAAUUUGAUUCUACAGAUUGACACAGUAACUUAAAAAAAAAAAGUAUAAAAUCAUGGGUGGCUUGCCAAAUUCUUGUUUUGUCAAAUUAGGACAUUAGAUAGACAACUACUAACUAUGAUUACCAGCACUUCAUAAAAGAGAUGACAUUUUACACUGAAAAUGUUGGAAGACUCUUUAUGAUUGUCAGUCUAGCAAUAAUGAAGAAGCAUCCUGCCCAUUUAGCUUUCCAAUAACCACUGGUAUUUCUUACUUUCUGUCUUAUACAGCAGGACAGCUGCCAGUCUCACUGGCAGACAUUGUUCUCAGGGGCAUUUUGAGGACCAAGUUGAACCAAGUAGCAACUGAACCCACUAUUUCUCUCUGCUUUCUCUUUGCUGGUCUGUAGGAGACCUGUUGCCCUUUCUUCCCUCUGUAGGGAUUCCUGCUGUGGCAGUCACUGUUUUCCAUCUUCCCCUUCUUCCUGGGUUCCUACAAGACUACAUUUCCCAGCUUCUUGCUGUUGAUAUAACCAUAUGACUGGUUCCAGCCAAUGGGCUGGGAGCAGAAGUGUUAUACUCCAUCCAUGGUGUGUGAUUCUCCCCCACAUUCCUUCCCUCUCCCUUGUAAAGGAGCUUCUGCUGACAUGGAGGUGCCACAGAUGGAGGCAGUCACCACACGGAGCGCAGCUUCUCUGGAAUGCUGCCCACCCAGUCUCCCAGAGGACUUUGUAGGGGCAAGAGGUGAAUUUAGGUAAAGCUCCAAGAUUUUGGCCUUGCCUGUCCCUGCAGCUUAACUUGGUCUGCUCUGACUAAUGGCAGCACCCAACUGGAGAAGACUGGCAUCCGAUUUUAAUAAUUACUACAUAGAAAUAAAUAUCAAACUGAAAAGAAAGCAAUUCUCAAUUUAAAAUUUUGCAUUUCAACUCUAAUUCUCUUGAACUUCUUUUCAUUUGUUAAAGAUCUGAAUUAAAAUCUCACGAAUUAGUUGGAGGAUAAAAAUUCAGAUGGCCUGGCAUUCCCUUUAUUGUUUGAUCUGAUGUGUUUUUCAGGCUUCUUUGUUUCUGGGCAUUCUUGGAGAAUCUAGAUAAAUGAUUCACUCUUGCAUUUUCCCUCAGGGUCUCGUUCUUUAAAGCUCCUGUUCCAUAAGGUGCCGGUAAAUACAGCAUGAUUCCUUAUUUUUGAUUGUGUUCACACAGUGCCAUUGACAGCUCUCUAGUUAACUUGAUCUGAGCAAACAGCCAAGUUCAUUCAUUUGCAUAUUUUAAAAAAUAAAUAGUUGAUUAUUACUCAUUUGUUCUUAAAGUCUUUAUGGUGCAGCUACUGAAUACUGGUCCCUGGUAAAAAGAGAUAUGAAUGAGGGCAGAUGUGCCUGGAUUUCAGGAGGCCUUGAAGCCCCACAGAGAGCUUCAGGUUUCUUUUUGAAGAUAGUAGCUGCAUCCUCACAUUCUCCUAAGUUCAGGCCACUGGAAAGAAGGUACAGUGCCUUUCGUUGUUUGUUUGAAGGAGUUCUGAGUCACCUGAACGUACCUGGGCUGGAUACCUACACUGAAACUUCUGGCUCGAGGAAGAGAAUUGUGGUCGUUGGCCAGGCCUGAAACAAACGCUUACUCUUGAACAUAUCAUCUGGGGCAGAAGUCAGCAAAAUCAUGGUCCAUGGGCAACCUGCCCAUUUUUGUUGAUGAAGCAUAUUGAGACAUGUUGAGAGCCACAGCUGAAGGGGCCCCAGCAAACUUCCAGCUGCCAGCAAACUUCCAGCUGCCGGCUGAUGAUUGGCUCACAGCGGCCCCAGCAACAUCUAGCUGAUUGGCUCCUUGGCCCCAGCAACAUCUAGCUGAUUGGCUCCUCUGCAGUGAUGCUCAUUGGGCUGUUUCCCUGCCCUUUCAGACCACAGAGCUGCUCAUUGGGGGACUUUUUUGGCUCCGCCCACGUGACCCAGCCAAUCGGCCUCAAGAGCAGGAGGAUUGUGGGAGGUGGAGAGAAGCUUGUGUGGGAGAGAGAGGCUUGUGGAAAGCCGGUGGUGGCAGUUGAGGCUCUGAAGGUUUUUCCUGAGAGGCUGUUUUGUUUGGCGUGUGUGGUUCUAAAAAUAAAGUUAGUUUCUUUUGACAAA